UACGGGGGGGGCAAGCGUUGUUCGGAAUUAUUGGGCGUAAAGAGCUCGUAGGCGGUUAGUCGCGUCUGCUGUGAAAACUCGGGGCUUAACUCCGGGCCUGCAGUGGGUACGGGCUGACUAGAGUGCGGUAGGGGAGACUGGAAUUCCUGGUGUAGCGGUGAAAUGCGCAGAUAUCAGGAGGAACACCGGUGGCGAAGGCGGGUCUCUGGGCCGUAACUGACGCUGAGGAGCGAAAGCGUGGGGAGCGAACAGG
rnacentral:rRNA from 1 species